GACGAACGCUGGCGGCGUGCCUAAUACAUGCAAGUCGAACGAAGCUUUUUUAACUGGUGCUUGCACCGACUUAAACAACUGAGUGGCGAACGGGUGAGUAACACGUGGGUAACCUGCCCCAAAGCGGGGGAUAACAUUUGGAAACAGAUGCUAAUACCGCAUAACCACAGAAACCACAUGGUUUCUGUGUCAAAGAUGGUUUCGGCUAUCACUUUGGGAUGGACCCGCGGCGUAUUAGCUAGUUGGUAAGGUAAUGGCUUACCAAGGCAAUGAUAAGUAGCCGAACUGAGAGGUUGAGCGGCCACACUUGGACUGAGACACGGCCCAUACUCCUACGGGAGGCAGCAGUAGGGAAUCUUCCACAAUGGGCGCAAGCCUGAUGGAGCAACACCGCGUGAGUGAAGAAGGGUUUCGGCUCGUAAAACUCUGUUGUUAAAGAAGAACGUAUCUAAGAGUAACUGCUUAGGUAGUGACGGUAUUUAACCAGAAAGCCACGGCUAACUACGUGCCAGCCGCCGCGGUAA
rnacentral:rRNA from 1 species